rnacentral:rRNA from 1 species
GGUCAAGUAGAAAAGGGCGCACGGUGAAUGCCUAGGCACUAACAGCCGAAGAAGGACGUGACGAACUACGAAAAGCUUCGGGGAGCGGUAAGUACGCAGUGAUCCGGAGAUAUCCGAAUGGGGAAACCCGG